rnacentral:rRNA from 1 species
UACGUAGGGGGCUAGCGUUGUCCGGAAUCAUUGGGCGUAAAGCGCGUGUAGGCGGCCCGGUAAGUCCGCUGUGAAAGUCGGGGGCUCAACCCUCGGAUGCCGGUGGAUACUGUCGAGCUCGAGUCCGGAAGAGGCGAGUGGAAUUCCUGGUGUAGCGGUGAAAUGCGCAGAUAUCAGGAGGAACACCAAUGGCGAAGGCAGCUCGCUGGGACGUGACUGACGCUGAGACGCGAAAGCGUGGGGAGCAAACAGG